rnacentral:rRNA from 1 species
UCGAGAGGCUUCGGCAAUGGGGGAAACCCUGACCGAGCGACGCCGCGUGAAGGAUGAAGGCCCUUGGGUUGUAAACUUCUUUUGUUGGGGAAGAAAUGCGAUCAGGUAAACAAUCUGGUCGUUUGACGGUACCCGACGAAUAAGCUCCGGCUAACUACGUGCCAGCAGCCGCGGUAACACGUAGGACGCAAGCGUUAUCCGGAAUUACUGGGCGUAAAGAGCGUGUAGGCGGUGCUGUAAGUCAACCGUGAAAGCUCCCGGCUAAACUGGGAGAGGUCGGAUGAGACUGCAGCGCUAGUGGGUCGUAGAGGAAUGUGGAAUUCCGGGUGUAGUGGUGAAAUGCGUAGAGAUCCGGAGGAACACCAGAGGCGAAGGCGGCAUUCUGGACGACAUCAGACGCUGAGACGCGACAGCACGGGGAGCGA